rnacentral:rRNA from 1 species
AUUGAACGCUGGCGGCAUGCCUUAUACAUGCAAGUCGAACGGCAGCAUGAUCUAGCUUGCUAGAUUGAUGGCGAGUGGCGAACGGGUGAGUAAUACAUCGGACCGUGCCCUGUAGUGGGGGAUAACUAGUCGAAAGAUUAUCAAAUACCGCAUACGACCUGAGGGUGAAAGUGGGGUACCGCAAGGCCGCAUGCUCGAGGAGCGGCCGUUGUCUGAUUAGCUAGUUGGGGAGGUAAAGGCUCACCAAGGCGACGAUCAGUAGCCGGUCUGAGAGGACGAUACGCCCCACUGGGACUUGGGCACGGUCCAGGCCCCUACGGGGGGCAGGCGUAGGGAAUUUUUGACCAUGGGCGAAAGCCUGGUUCAGCCAGGCCCCGUGUGUGACGAAGGUCUUCGGGUUCUUAAACAAUUUUUUCCGGAAAGAAAUAACUCUGGUUAAUACCUGGGGUCGAUGACGGUACCGGAAGAAUAAGGACCGGCUAACUACGUG